UAAGCAGAGGAUGACAACAAAGGGACGUAAUUCUGAACCAUGAGGAUACUCACUUUUGUCUGAUGCUU